GACGAACGCUGGCGGCGUGCCUAAUACAUGCAAGUCGAACGCAGUGGGGACGGGUGAGUAACACGUGGGUAACCUCCCAUCAGAGGGGAUAACACUUGGAAACAGGUGCUAAACCGAUACUGAUGGAUGGACUCGCGGUGCAUUAGCUAGUUGGUGAGGUAACGGCUCACCAAGGCCACGAUGCAUAGCCGGCCUGAGAGGAUGAUCGGCCACACUGGGACUGAGACACGGCCCAGACUCCUACGGGAGGCAGCAGUGGGGAAUAUUGGGCAAUGGACGAAAGCCUGACCCAGCAACGCCGCGUGAGUGAAGAAGGUUUUCGGAUCGUAAAACUCUGUUGUUAGAGAAGCGGUAUCUAACCAGGAAGCCACGGCUAACUACGUGCCAGCAGCCGCGGUAAUAC
rnacentral:rRNA from 1 species